rnacentral:rRNA from 1 species
UUGGAGGGCAAGUCUGGUGCCAGCAGCCGCGGUAAUUCCAGCUCCAAUAGCGUAUAUUAAAGUUGUUGCAGUUAAAAAGCUCGUAGUUGAAUUUCGGGGUUAGUAGGUUGGUCAUGCCUCUGGUAUGUACUGGUCUCACUGAUUCCUCCUUCCUGAUGAACCUUAAUGCCAUUAAUUUGGUGUUUUGGGGAAUUUGGACUGUUACUUUGAAAAAAUUAGAGUGUUUAAAGCAAGCUAACGCUUGAAUACAUUAGCAUGGAAUAAUGAAAUAGGACGUUCGAUCCUAUUUUGUUGGUUUCUAGGAUUGACGUAAUGAUUAAUAGGGAUAGUUGGGGGCAUUAGUAUUCAAUUGUCAGAGGUGAAAUUCUUGGAUUUAUUGAAGACUAACUACUGCGAAAGCAUUUGCCAAGGGUGUUUUCAUUAAUCAAGAACGAAAGUUAGGGGAUCGAAGACGAUCAGAUACCGUCGUAGUCUUAACCAUAAACUAUGCCGACUAGGGAUCGGAUGAUGUUAAUUUUUUAAUGACUCAUUCGGCGCCUUACGGGAAACC